UUGGGACUUGUUAUUCUUAGCAAAACAAUUCCAGAUAGCAAAGCAUUUUACUGCUUAAAGCCGACUCAGUUCUUAAAGGAGAAGCUCACAUUAUUUUAUUCUACACUUUUUUCCCAGGAAGGUGAUCUUGUAUAGUUUUAUUUUUCUUAAUAAUAGGUGGAGCUAUGCAAAGAAAACCCCAAAUACAUAGACCCGAUUUCCUAGAAAUCUCAACCCUUCACAUGAUAAAGCCUACUCACAGGACAUCGGAAUUGGAACAAGAGCGGAACGAUUCAAAUCCAAUCUCCUGUGCUAUGAAGACACGCCAAAUACAGUGGCAACUUUGCGCCCAAAUUUUGAUCGCAGUGAAACAUGAGUCCUCAAAGGUCAAGAACAACCUAAUGGUCUGUGGGGCUCCUACAUGCUGAAAAGUGUGCUUCCCAGGAUGUGAACACAUCACUGCUUAUACUGCUUCCCCAAACCCCUUCUAGCUUCAGUAAUAGGAGAGGUUCAGCUCAUUCGAUUGGCUGGUUAUGGAUGUCUAACUGUAAAAUCUUGGUUAUUGAUCUCACCUGCUGAUAACAGCAGCCUUGACUCAUGCUUCCUUUACAACGAUAUUAUAGAAGGAGCACCCACUA
rnacentral:lncRNA from 12 species